UGGGGAAUAUUGGACAAUGGGCGCAAGCCUGAUGCAGCAACGCCGCGUGCGGGAAGACAGCCCUAGGGUUGUAAACCGCUUUCAGCAGGGAAGAAACUGACGGUACCUGCAGAAGAAGAUGCGGCCAACUACGUGCCAGCAGCCGCGGUGACACGUAGGCAUCAAGCGUUAUCCGGAUUUAUUGGGCGUAAAGAGCUCGUAGGCGGUUCGGUAAGUCGGGUGUGAAAACUCUGGGCUCAACCCAGAGAGGCCACUCGAUACUGCUGUGACUAGAGUGCGGUAGGGGAGCGGGGAAUUCCUGGUGUAGCGGUGGAAUGCGCAGAUAUCAGGAGGAACACCGGUGGCGAAGGCGGGUCUCUGGGCCGGAACUGACGCUGAGGAGCGAAAGCGUGGGGAGCGAACAGGAUUAGAUACCCGUGGUAGUCCACGCCGUAAACGGUGGGCGCUAGGUGUGGGGAUCGUUUCCACGAUCUCCGUGCCGUAGCUAACGCAUUAAGCGCCCC
rnacentral:rRNA from 1 species